AUAAUGUAAAAAUUGUUAUGCAGUAACUGAUGAUGAAGGGAUUUUAGCGCAGUGAAUAGUAAAUAAGAUAUGCUAUGCGGGGAUUAUCUACUAUAAAGGGAAUUUUUGCCUGUAAAUACUCAUCCGUGCAUUGUUGGCAUGUGUUUUCUUAUUCCAUAUUCCAUCCCACGUAAAUAACAUAUAGAUUCUCACAUAAGUCACAAGGAUAUUAAUAAUGAAAGUUAAUACCACCAACCAGACGCUGCAUAUGUCCUGUCGAGCUUAUAU
rnacentral:misc_RNA from 1 species